AACGAACGCUGGCGGCAUGCCUAACACAUGCAAGUCGAACGAGACCUUCGGGGCUAGUGGUGCCCGGGUGCGUACCGCGUGGGAACCUGCCCUUAGGUUCGGAAUCACUACCAGAAAGGGGAGCUAUUAACGGGUCAUGUAUUAGGACCAAAGCUUUCUCGCCUUGGGAUGGGCCCGCGUUGGAUUAGCUAGUUGGUAGGGUAAAGGCCUACCAAGGCGACGAUCCAUAGCUGGUCUGAGAGGAUGAUCAGCCACACUGGGACUGAGACACGGCCCAGACUCCUACGGGAGGCAGCAGUGGGGAAUAUUGGACAAUGGGCGAAAGCCUGAUCCAGCGAUGCCGCGUGGAUGAUGAAGGUCUUAGGGUUGUAAAGCUCUGUUACCCGGGAUGAUAAUGACAGUACCGGGAGAAUAAGCUCCGGCUAACUCCGUG
rnacentral:rRNA from 1 species